CAUGCAGGCGGUUACAUAAGUCAGGUGUGAAAUCCCCGCGCUUAACGUGGGCAUUGCAUUUGAAACUAUGUAGCUAGAGUUCUGUAGAGGGGGGUAGAAUUCCAGGUGUAGCGGUGAAAUGCGUAGAUAUAGGAAGGAACACCAGUGGCGAAGGCGACCACCUGGACUGAUACUGACACUGAGGUGCGAAAGCGUGGGGAGCAAACAGGAUUAGAUACCCUUGUA
rnacentral:rRNA from 1 species